rnacentral:rRNA from 1 species
UGGGGAAUAUUGGACAAUGGGCGCAAGCCUGAUCCAGCAAUGCCGCGUGAGUGAGGAAGGCCUUAGGGUUGUAAAGCUCUUUCGGCGGGGACGAUGAUGACGGUACCCGCAGAAGAAGCCCCGGCUAACUUCGUGCCAGCAGCCGCGGUAAUACGAAGGGGCGAGCGUGUUCGAUUAGCUUGGCGUGAAAGGGCGACGGCAGGCGGCCGGCUUGUCAGGUGUGAAAGCCCCGGCGUCACCACUGGGAGGUGCACCUGGGACGGGUUGGCUGGAGAUCGGGAGAGGAGCGUGGAAUUCCCAGUGUAGAGGUGAAAUUCGUAGAUAUUGGGAAGAACACCGGUGGCGAAGGCGGCGCUCUGGACCGAUUACUGACGCUGAGGCGCG